CUGAAUCACCUAACAUAUUUAUCUCUCCACUUCUUGCUCUCUCUCUCUCUCUCCGCUGGGAAUUUUCACUAUAAUGCUCCAGACUUCAUUCCGUUUGAAAGCUAGAGUGGAUCUGGUAGUUUUGUCAAUGAAAAAGAGCGUUUAAGUUUGUGUGCGGUGAUAUCUCCAUGCAUGUUCAUGGCAGAUAGGCUUCAGUCAUAUUCCCAUGUACUUCUUUGCUUCCAAAUAGUUGAAUUUCUUCAGGUCCAGAAAUAAAUUUAAUUGCACGCCAUUUUCAGACUGUAGGUUCAUUCCAGCACAGUGGCAAAAUGGUGAGACACAAAAGAGGAGGUGAGGUGCGACACGUGGAGGGCUAAGGUGGCAACACGUGGUUGGUAAAACCAACAUUACUUUUUAGCGGCGACAAAAAAGUUGCUGCUGAUUGAUAGUUUCUUCAGCGAUAAAUGUCACCGCUGAUACUUAACAUUUUGUCGCCAUUGAUAUAUGGUUUUCGUGGCAACUUUUGUUGCCACCUAUUCUCAACUUUCAGUGAUGACUAUCUUUCUGUAGCGACAAAUUUUCUUUUCCACGGCAACAUUUGUUGCCGUCGAUUCUCAACUAAAUGUCACCACAGAUAGAAUUAGUGACAAGAACUUUUGCAGUGAUAUUGUGGCGACUUUUUAUCACCGCUGAAAACUUUCAGUGAUGACUUUUUAGCUUUCAACGAUGACUUUUGUCGUCAUUAAAAGUCAAUUUUUUUGUAGUGAGGUUUGGAAGCUUUAAAAGCAUCCCAAGCCCAAAAUUUUUCAACCGUAAUAGGGCUCUUUCGUCUUCACCACCCUUUCCUUUCUCCCUCUUUUCCUAUUUUGUGAUAUACAUUUAUGCAGAUUUUUACAUGUUUAUGGCGGAUUUUAUGGAUUUUCUCCCAAA